GUGUCUGUAACUCAAUUGGAUAGAGUGUCGAACUUCGGAUUCGAUGGUUGAGAGUUCGAGUCUUUCCAGACAUA
rnacentral:tRNA from 1 species